AAGUCGUAACAAGGUUUCCGUAGGUGAACCUGCGGAAGGAUCAUUAACACGUAUCCACGUAUCACCCAAUGUGCACUCGUUUUUCCCCUCCCUGUCUGUCUACAUGAAUUGGCUAGUGAGUUGUCGAGCAUUGAAUGGGAGCGUAUUUGCUCACUCGGCUUCACACGACCUGAGUCUCCGGGCUCUAACAAUUGGAGUAGCCAGAUGGGCUUUUCUUUACUACUGGGACCUCCCCGUUCAAGAGGUGAGUAGUAAGGAGACUUAUCACCUAUUUCACACCCUUUUUGCUAGUUGACUUUUUUAUGUUGUCUUCAGUGUAACUCUGUUAUGCUGGAUUCACACGUUUAAUUAUUUGAACGUUAAAAAUACAACUCUUAGCAAUGGAUAUCUUGGUUCUC
rnacentral:misc_RNA from 1 species